GAUGAACGCUAGCGGGAGGCUUAAUACAUGCAAGUCGAGGGGUAACAGGGGCUUCGGCCCGCUGACGACCGGCGCACGGGUGAGUAACGCGUACGCAACUUACCUCCAAGCGAGGGAUAGCCCUGGGAAACUGGGAUUAAUACCUCAUGUGAUUAUGAUGCCGCAUGGUGUUAUAAUUAAAGUUCAGGCGCUUGGAGAUGGGCGUGCGUCCUAUUAGCUAGUUGGUGAGGUAACGGCUCACCAAGGCGACGAUAGGUAGGGGGCGUGAGAGCGUGGCCCCCCACACGGGUACGUGAGACACGGACCCGACUCCUACGGGAGGCAGCAGUAAGGAAUAUUGGACGAAUGGGCGGCAAGCCUGAUCCAGCCAUCCCGCCGUGCAGGAUGACAG
rnacentral:rRNA from 1 species